GAAGCAGCUUUGAAAGGUGAGGCAUUGGUAAGGGCUCAAUUUCAAGAAGAUCCAUAUGGGUGUAGAGGUACACUUCGGCGUAAAAAACUUGGGCGUGAUCCCUUUCAUCGGUCAAUCCCUUAUCCUAAUGGCUGCCCUGAAAUUUAAGGGUUAUUCAUGUGGAGCUGGUCCUUACCCAGGUUCUCUUCCAUGGACUAAGUAGUAUUAACCAUUAUACGUGUCUUGAUCAAUAGCAUAGAUAUAAGAUCAAUCGGCUAGAAAUCUUACAGAGCCAAAGCUUGAAUGCUUUUAAUUUUCCUCUUGAGGGCAACAAAUUAUAGAAAGAUAUUUUCUUUACG
rnacentral:misc_RNA from 1 species